rnacentral:rRNA from 1 species
GACGAACGCUGGCGGCGUGCUUAACACAUGCAAGUCGAACGGAAAGGCCCUGCUUUUGUGGGGUGCUCGAGUGGCGAACGGGUGAGUAACACGUGAGUAACCUGCCCUUGACUUUGGGAUAACUUCAGGAAACUGGGGCUAAUACCGGAUAGGAGCUCCUGCUGCAUGGUGGUGGUUGGAAAGUUUCGGCGGUUGGGGAUGGACUCGCGGCUUAUCAGCUUGUUGGUGGGGUAGUGGCUUACCAAGGCUUUGACGGGUAGCCGGCCUGAGAGGGUGACCGGCCACAAUGGGACUGAGAUACGGACCAGACUCCUACGGGAGGCAGCAGUGGGGAAUAUUGCACAAUGGGCGGAAGCCUGAUGCAGCAACGCCGCGUGCGGGAUGACGGCCUUCGGGUUGUAAACCGCUUUCGCCUGUGACGAAGCGUGAGUGACGGUAAUGGGUAAAGAAGCACCGGCUAACUACGUG